rnacentral:tRNA from 1 species
UAGAUUGUGUGUAGUGGAAGCACAAAGAGUUUUGAUCUCUUCAGGCGGGGUUCAAAUCCCCAUUUUCUAA